rnacentral:rRNA from 1 species
AUGGAUGGUGUGAGUUCAUUAAAUGCUCGACAAGCCGCCAGAUUAGCGGCACACAAAUCAUGUUCACCAACUGAGUUUGUUCAAUGGUUGUAUCAUAAUUGGUUAAUGAAAAAAAAAACGGGCUGGGACUAA